GACGAACGCUGGCGGCGUGCUUAACACAUGCAAGUCGAACGGAAAGGCCCUGCUUUUGUGGGGUGCUCGAGUGGCGAACGGGUGAGCAACACGUGAGUAACCUGCCCUUGACUUUGGGAUAACUUCAGGAAACUGGGGCUAAUACCGGAUAGGAGCUCCUGCUGCAUGGUGGGGGUUGGAAAGUUUCGGCGGUUGGGGAUGGACUCGCGGCUUAUCAGCUUGUUGGUGGGGUAGUGGCUUACCAAGGCUUUGACGGGUAGCCGGCCUGAGAGGGUGACCGGCCACAUUGGGACUGAGAUACGGCCCAGACUCCUACGGGAGGCAGCAGUGGGGAAUAUUGCACAAUGGGCGGAAGCCUGAUGCAGCAACGCCGCGUGCGGGAUGACGGCCUUCGGGUUGUAAACCGCUUUCGCCUGUGACGAAGCGUGAGUGACGGUAAUGGGUAAAGAAGCACCGGCUAACUACGUGCCAGCAGCCGCGGUGAUACGUAGGGUGCGAGCGUUGUCCGGAUUUAUUGGGCGUAAAGGGCUCGUAGGUGGUUGAUCGCGUCGGAAGUGUAAUCUUGGGGCUUAACCCUGAGCGUGCUUUCGAUACGGGUUGACUUGAGGAAGGUAGGGGAGAAUGGAAUUCCUGGUGGAGCGGUGGAAUGCGCAGAUAUCAGGAGGAACACCAGUGGCGAAGGCGGUUCUCUGGGCCUUUCCUGACGCUGAGGAGCGAAAGCGUGGGGAGCGAACAGGCUUAGAUACCCUGGUAGUCCACGCUGUAAACGGUGGGUACUAGGUGUGGGGUCCAUUCCACGGGUUCCGUGCCGUAGCUAACGCUUUAAGUACCCCGCCUGGGGAGUACGGCCGCAAGGCUAGAACUCAAAGGAAUUGACGGGGCCCCGCACAAGCGGCGGAGCAUGCGGAUUAAUUCGAUGCAACGCGUAGAACCUUACCUGGGUUUGACAUGGAUCGGGAGUGCUCAGAGAUGGGUGUGCCUCUUUUGGGGUCGGUUCACAGGUGGUGCAUGGCUGUCGUCAGCUCGUGUCGUGAGAUGUUGGGUUAAGUCCCGCAACGAGCGCAACCCUUGUUCACUGUUGCCAGCACGUUAUGGUGGGGACUCAGUGGAGACCGCCGGGGUCAACUCGGAGGAAGGUGGGGAUGACGUCAAGUCAUCAUGCCCCUUAUGUCCAGGGCUUCACGCAUGCUACAAUGGCUGGUACAGAGAGUGGCGAGCCUGUGAGGGUGAGCGAAUCUCGGAAAGCCGGUCUCAGUUCGGAUUGGGGUCUGCAACUCGACCUCAUGAAGUCGGAGUCGCUAGUAAUCGCAGAUCAGCAACGCUGCGGUGAAUACGUUCCCGGG
rnacentral:rRNA from 1 species